rnacentral:rRNA from 1 species
AGAGUUUGAUCCUGGCUCAGGACGAACGCUGGCGGCACGCUUAACACAUGCAAGUCGAACGAGAGAAGAGGAGCUUGCUUUUCUGAUCUAGUGGCGGACGGGUGAGUAACACGUGAGCAAUCUGCCUUUCAGAGGGGGAUACCGAUUGGAAACGAUCGUUAAUACCGCAUAACAUAAUUGAACCGCAUGAUUUGAUUAUCGAAGAUUUAUCGCUGAAAGAUGAGCUCGCGUCUGAUUAGCUAGUUGGUAAGGUAACGGCUUACCAAGGCGACGAUCAGUAGCCGGACUGAGAGGUUGAUCGGCCACAUUGGGACUGAGACACGGCCCAGACUCCUACGGGAGGCAGCAGUGGGGAAUAUUGCACAAUGGAGGAAACUCUGAUGCAGCGAUGCCGCGUGAGGGAAGAAGGUUUUAGGAUUGUAAACCUCUGUCUUCAGGGACGAAAAAAGACGGUACCUGAGGAGGAAGCUCCGGCUAACUACGUGCCAGCAGCCGCGGUAAUACGUAGGGAGCGAGCGUUGUCCGGAAUUACUGGGUGUAAAGGGAGCGUAGGCGGGAUCGCAAGUCAGAUGUGAAAACUAUGGGCUUAACCCAUAAACUGCAUUUGAAACUGUGGUUCUUGAGUGAAGUAGAGGUAAGCGGAAUUCCUAGUGUAGCGGUGAAAUGCGUAGAUAUUAGGAGGAACAUCAGUGGCGAAGGCGGCUUACUGGGCUUUAACUGACGCUGAGGCUCGAAAGCGUGGGGAGCAAACAGGAUUAGAUACCCUGGUAGUCCACGCCGUAAACGAUGAUUACUAGGUGUGGGGGGACUGACCCCUUCCGUGCCGCAGCAAACGCAAUAAGUAAUCCACCUGGGGAGUACGACCGCAAGGUUGAAACCCAAAGGAAUUGACGGGGGCCCGCACAAGCAGUGAAGUAUGUGGAUUAAUUCGAAGCAACGCGAAGAACCUUACCAGGUCUUGACAUCGUAUGCAUAGCUCAGAGAUGAGUGAAAUCUCUUCGGAGACAUAUAGACAGGUGGUGCAUGGUUGUCGUCAGCUCGUGUCGUGAGAUGUUGGGUUAAGUCCCGCAACGAGCGCAACCCUUACUGUUAGUUGCUACGCAAGAGCACUCUAGCAGGACUGCCGUUGACAAAACGGAGGAAGGUGGGGAUGACGUCAAAUCAUCAUGCCCCUUAUGACCUGGGCCUCACACGUACUACAAUGGCUGUCAACAGAGGGAAGCAAAGCCGCGAGGUGGAGCGAACCCCUAAAAGCAGUCUUAGUUCGGAUUGUAGGCUGCAACCCGCCUACAUGAAGUCGGAAUUGCUAGUAAUCGCAGAUCAGCAUGCUGCGGUGAAUACGUUCCCGGGCCUUGUACACACCGCCCGUCACGCCAUGGGAGUCGGUAACACCCGAAGCCUGUAGUCUAACCGCAAGGAGGACGCAGUCGAAGGUGGGAUUGAUGACUGGGGUGAAGUCGUAACAAGGUA